AGCCACCAUUAUGCUGUGACAAUCAUUCCGGUCCUUCCCAGAAUCCUCUGUCUUGACCUAUUCUCUGUUCAACCUGUCUCAUUUAAAACAAGCAUAUGUUCUGAUCAAGUUCAAAAUGUAGGACUUCGCCCAGAGGUCCAUAUAAUGCUUAGCCUAAAAAAACCUGUACAAGUGCCUUUCACAGUACUUCAGAAUGUAAGCUCAUUGAGCAGGGCUCCUGUACGUCUAGUUGUCUGGUUACAAUUACAUGUCUUUUAGUCCACAUUGAACAGUGCUACGAAAUCUGAUGGCGCUAUAUAAAUAAUAAAAUAAUAGUAAUAAUCAGAGAACCCACCGAUGGACAUUAUACAAUACAAACAUGAACUGCAUGAAUAGUGGGAGGCAAAGCAUACUGUGAUAAUGGUUCUCCAGGCAUAGGUCAAAAAGGCCAGGUUUAAAGGAUACGUUUACAGCCAUUGAAGAAACUCUUACUAAUAAUGCUGUGAUGAGGAUAUACGAUGUAGAGUUACAAUUCUCAUGGGACUCUUACACAAAUGUUAUGAUCUUAUGGGUUCUUGAAGUAUGUGAGGAUUUGGG